rnacentral:rRNA from 1 species
GAUGAACGCUGGCGGCGUGCCUAAUACAUGCAAGUCGAGCGAAAAGAUGAGGAGCUUGCUCCUCUGACGUUAGCGGCGGACGGGUGAGUAACGCGUGGAUCACCUACCUAUCAGACUGGGAAAACUUCGGGAAACCGGAGCUAAUCCCGGAUAAUAUAUUGAACCGCAUGGUUCAAUAGUGAAAGACGGUUUUGCUGUAACUUCUAGAUGGAUCUGGGCCGGUUUAGCUGGUUGGUAAGGUAACGGCUUAUCAAGGCGACUAUGCGUAUCCGACCUAAGAGGGUGAUCGGCCACCCGGGAGCUUGGCCGGCGUCCAGAGUCCUGCGGGAGGCAGCAGAAUCGUACCUUCCGCUACAGUCGAAAGCCUUACGGAGUAACGCCGCGCCAGUUAUGGAGGCCUCCGGUUCGUAAAACUCUGUUAUGAGUGAAGAACAAAUGUGUAAGUAACUAUGCCCUGCGUGACGGUACCGAAUCAGAAAGCCACGGCUAACUACGUG